UGGUUACAUUCAAACUUUUAACUUCCUUAGUACCAUGCUGCAGGUAUCAGCACUGUUAAGGUGCUGCAAGAAUGCCCAGCCCUCUGGUGUCUGAUCACAUAUACCCAGCAACAUUACAGUCUUGAGGGAUGCCCGGGCCUCGGCCCAUGGACAAUUAAAUACAUUUAAGCAGGGUCUUCUCUUUCCCCCUUCCUGCUUCUAGAACAUAAAAGGACUACAAUUAAGGAAUACUGGGAAUUUUAGAGCUGGGAAAAUGAAGUCUGAAAGAUGAAUCAAGGCCAACAAUGACUGAGAACCUGGCUGCUGCUUACCCUGGCAAAUCUUAAAAGUCGUUACUUCAACCUCGUGGGAAUUAGGUGUAAAAGGUUUGCUGCAACAUGUUCUUGGUAAACAAACUAAGUAGAGCUCUUAUUUACAAAUCUUGUAACAAACACUUCUGGAGAAAAAAAGAGAAUUCGCUAAUUUCCAGAAGACAAAGUUUUAAUUGCCAGACAUAUAACAAACACACACUCACACACACACCCACACAAUACUUCAGGGAUUUUUAUACAAGUUAUUUAGGGCAUAAACUGAGUACUAUACCCCUACAUCCCAUCAAAAAAGGAACAACAAAAAAAAUCCCAAUUUUGCCCUCCCCCAUAAUCUAGAAAACCCUCCCUUCACCCCGAUGUACAAAGUGUAUGCACAAUGGUGGCGUCCCACCAGCCACACAGAGCGCGCCCUACAGAUGUCACCAGUCCAGUCGCUCCACGACAUGGCAACAGGCAGGUUUACAGGGUUUUUUCUCCAAUAGUGGUUAAGACACAGAAAGCACCACUGUGAAUUUUGAAUUAGGCUUUGAGAAAAAAGUGUAACUUAGGGAUUUGGGAGUCAAGAAAACUCAUUUUGUAUCAAGCUUAUCUCAAGAAAAAGGGAAAAUGGGUUGCAGAUUGAAAUUUGGCUUUAAGUAGUUUGACCUCCCAAUAUUCAAAUAAACUAACUCCCUUUUCAAAUAAACCCAACUCCAUGCACAGAGAAAAGGACAACUCUCUAACCUCAAGAGCUAUCCCUUGGCAGAAAAUGAGUAUUGCUUGUUCUAUCUGAAUGUCAUAAAAACCGGAGGCCAGGCUUCUGCCUUUCCAAACUGCUAAGGUGACAGCUUCUUCUAGGCACAGCUACUGGUGAUGCAGGCACAGAAAGAAGUGUUCAAAUCAAAACUCCCUUUCUCCAUAAAAGCCACGAUGGUCACAUGACCUUUUAUAAAGCUUUCCCUGUAGCUCCUGGGAUUAAUUUCUGCUCCCGCCUUUCUGACACCCUCAAAGCAUCUCCUACAGAAAAGGAAAAGGAAAAACAGGCACUAUUCCCUUCCCC
ensembl:lncRNA